GGUCUAAUAGUGUAGUGGUUAGCACUCAGGAUUUUGACGGCCGACCGGGUCCCCGGCCCGGCAAUCACGUGACCUUCCUGCGACCCAGGUUCGAACCCUGGUUAGACCU
rfam:Schizophyllum commune H4-8 unplaced genomic scaffold SCHCOscaffold_7, whole genome shotgun sequence.